GGGCGUGGAUAAGGCAUGCAAGUCGUACGCCCUGACUUCGGUCAGGGAGUGGCGAACGGGUUAGUAACACGUGGAUUACCUACCUCUAAGACGGGCAUAAUCCGGAGAAAUCCGGACUAAUUCCCGAUGGUUCCCGCAAGGGUAAAGGUUUCGCAAGAUUCCGCUUAGAGAAGGGUCCGCGUCCUAUCAGCUUGUUGGUGAGGUAAUGGCUCACCAAGGCGAUGACGGGUAGGGGGCGUGAGAGCGUGACCCCCAACAUUAGCACUGAGACACUGGCUAAACACCUACGGGUGGCUGCAGUCGAGAAUCUUCGGCAAUGGGCGAAAGCCUGACCGAGCGACGCCGCAUGCGGGAAGAAGACCUUUAGGUUGUAAACCGCUUUUAUGGAGGAAGAACUUUUGUGACGGUACUCCAUGAAUAAGGAGGGGCUAAUCACGUGCCAGCAGCAGCGGUAAUACGUGGCCUCCAAGCGUUAUCCGGAUUCACUGGGCGUAAAGAGUCUUAAGGCUGUUUUGUAAGUUCUUGGUUAAAUUUUUGGGGCUCAACCUCAAGACCGCCAGGAAUACUGCUUAACUAGAGGAUGUCAGAGGUUAGCGGAACGUACGGUGUAGGGGUGAAAUCCGUUGAUAUCGUGCGGAACACCAAAAGCGAAGGCAGCUAACUGGGGCAAUCCUGACGCUGAUUGACGAAAGCUAGGGUAGCGAACAAGAUUAGAUACCUUGGUAGUCCUAGCCGUAAACGAUGGACGCUAGCUGGUGGAAGUAUCGACCCUUUCACUGGCGUAGGUAACCCGUUAAGCGUCCCGCCUGGGAAGUACGCGGGCAACCGUGAAACUCAAAGGAAUAGACGGGGGUUUACACAAGCGGUGGACCACGUGGCUUAAUUCGAUGGUAAGCGGAGAACCUUACCAGGGCUUGACAUGCUAAUUUAGCUUUGGGGAAACCCAAAGUCCCGCAAGGAAAUUAGCACAGGUGCUGCAUGGUUGUUGUCAGCAGGUGCCGUGAGGUGCUCUCUUAAAUGAGGAAACCUGCGAAACCCUUACUUCAUGUUUUACAUGUCAUGAAGGACUGCCAGGGUCAACCUGGAGGAAGGCGGGGACGACACCAAAUCAGCAUGGCCCUUACGCCCUGGGCAGCACACGUGGUACAAUGGCUGGUACAACGGGUCGCAAAGCAGUAAUGCGGAGCUAAUCCAUAAAAACCAGUCCCAGUCCGGAUCGAGGUCUGCAAUUCGACCUCGUGAAGUUGGAAUCGCUAGUAAUCGCGGAUCAGCUACGCCGCGAUGAAUAUGUCACUGAACCUUGUACUCACCGCCCGUCACACCAGAGAAGUUGGGAGUACCCGAAGUCCAUGCUUGUCAUGGCCGAAGGUAAAUUCAAUAACUAGGGUGAAGUCGUAACAAGGCA
rnacentral:rRNA from 1 species